GGUAGAGCCAGUGCAAGUGAAGUCAACUUCGGCUGCGUUGGGUUUACUAUGGAAAUAGAAAUGACCCCAAGUUUUAUUAAGAUCUGUGAUUUCUGUAAAGAGAAAAAAAUAAUGUGAUUAGAAGUAGGCGAGAUAUGCAAGAAAUCACAUUCAAUUAUUUUGGUGUGCAUUUAGGAGUACUGUGCAACAAGAAAAACUUGGGACCGGGCAGUGAUUGAAAAGCUCUAAAAGCAGGUAAGCCACUGACUAACGCACAUUGCGCCCAAUGCCAGUUCCACUGUGCGUGUGACAGCGGCUAACCUGGUUUUGGGAAUGCGUCUUGGAGCAGACAAGCCAUCAUUCAACAAGCACGCCUUCACCAUGUCCCAGUAGUGUAUUGCCGUUCGGUCAGGCCUACAUUGGAGGUCCUGCCCCUCCCUUUGUGCACCUACUGUACUUUAUUUAUGGCCUGCAUAGCGAGUGCACGUACUUGUUGGUCCGACCUCUGUGACCUGCUCUCGCAAAUACAACUUACAUACUGGAUACUAAUUAUCAAACGAUUGCAGCAAUUUAGCUGCAAACUAAACCAGGACAUCUUUUUACAGAAAUGCCUUUGAUUGACUGACAUGAUAUGUGUUUUAUAAAGAGACUAUUUGAAUAAGUGAGGGUGAUUUAAUUGCUUUUUUGUAAGAAGUCUUUGAAUUUAUGGGCUAUAUCAUGUGAAGUCAAGCAGCUUUACAUUACAUGUUCCUGGCAAGCGGGUGAGUUUACCUGCAAUACUAUUUAUGUCCACAAGUGGGCGUGAGAGUUCCACCGUAUCGGGUCUGUCCAGACAGUGGAGCAAAAAACACAUGGAUUUGGGAGAUUAUAUAACCCUCCCAGACAGAUCUGUAAUCCAAUUCUUCACAAGUAAUCAUCAUAUCAAAAGUGGCCAUUUUGUGAAGCUUUAAUAUCCCAUUUAUACAAGUACAUGGAGUUGAAGGUAAAAAAAAAAGUUGACUACUGAGCAAUGAGAGUGCCAAUUAGUCGAGGUCAUGCUUUUCAGUCCAAAGGUGGCCCGCAGCCUAAAAGCCACAUCAAAUAUGUGGAAUGUUGUAUGUACAACAUUCCGCAUAUUUGCACAUUACGGGUAAACAUGAGGAAGUUACUGGAGUUUUAUGUUGUGGUGAUUACACAUUUGUGAUUUUUAGUUAUCUAAUACAAGUCCAUCGAUUUCAAUAUAUAUAUAUAUAUAUAUAUAUAUAUAUAUAUAUAUGCAAUAGGUAGGUAGGUAAUACAACAACAGUAGGGCCUACUUAAGGUGCAAACUAUUCAGUUUUUGGACUAUGACAGUUUUCAUGAUUUUCAUGUUUUCAUUUAUGUAUUAGUCGCUUUAAUUUAAAAACAUUGUUGCGAUGGUUUUGGAUGUUAAUUUCUUUCUUUGAAUAAAUCCAAAACAACUCAUUGGCCUAAUAAUCAAUAUUAAUGUUGUGUGAGUCACUAUUUUGAAAUAAAACUUUGAGACUAUAUUCUAUAA